AACGAACGCUAGCGGCAUGCCUAACACAUGCAAGUCGAACGAGACCUUCGGGUCUAGUGGCGCACGGGUGCGUAACGCGUGGGAACCUGCCCUUAGGUUCGGAAUAACUCCCCGAAAGGGGUGCUAAUACCGGAUAAUGUCUUCGGACCAAAGAUUUAUCGCCUUUGGAUGGGCCCGCGUUGGAUUAGCUAGUUGGUAGGGUAAAAGCCUACCAAGGCGACGAUCCAUAGCUGGUCUGAGAGGAUGAUCAGCCACACUGGGACUGAGACACGGCCCAGACUCCUACGGGAGGCAGCAGUGGGGAAUAUUGGACAAUGGGCGAAAGCCUGAUCCAGCAAUGCCGCGUGAGUGAUGAAGGCCUUAGGGUUGUAAAGCUCUUUUACCCGGGAUGGUAAUGACAGUACCGGGAGAAUAAGCUCCGGCUAACUCCGUG
rnacentral:rRNA from 1 species